GAUGAAGAACGCAGCGAAAUGCGAUAAGUAAUGUGAAUUGCAGAAUUCAGUGAAUCAUCGAAUCUUUGAACGCACCUUGCGCCCUUUGGCAUUCCGAAGGGCAUGCCUGUUUGAGUAUCAUGAACACCUCAACUCUUCAUGGUUUUCCAUGAUGAGCUUGGACUUUGGGGGUCUUGCUGGCCUGCGGUCGGCUCCUCUCAAAUGAAUCAGCUUACCAGUGUUUGGUGGGCAUCACAGGUGUGAUAACUAUCUGCGCUUGUGGUUUUCCACCAAGUAACCUUCAGCAGAGGAGGUUCACUGGAGCUCACAGACGUCUCUCCUCAGUGAGGACAGCCCUUUGAAUGUUUGAUCUCAAAUCAGGUAGGACUACCCGCUGAACUUAAGCAUAUCAAUAAGCGGAGGA
rnacentral:misc_RNA from 1 species